GUGUUGUAUGAAAGGAGAGAAAGUUAGUACUCCCCUUGAAAAGGAUGGAAGAGGUCCUGGUGGCCUUAACAACACAUUUGGUUAAGGCACCUAUUCUGUGGCAUCUAACCAUGCCACGAU
rnacentral:ncRNA from 1 species